GACGAACGCUGGCGGCGUGCUUAACACAUGCAAGUCGAACGCUGAAGCUUGGUGCUUGCACUGGGUGGAUGAGUGGCGUACGGGUGAGUAAUACGUGAGUAACCUGCCCUUGACUCUGGGAUAAGCCUGGGAAACUGGGUCUAAUACUGGAUACGACAUGUCACCGCAUGGUGGUGUGUGGAAAGGGUUUUACUGGUUUUGGAUGGGCUCACGGCCUAUCAGCUUGUUGGUGGGGUAAUGGCUCACCAAGGCGACGACGGGUAGCCGGCCUGAGAGGGUGACCGGCCACACUGGGACUGAGACACGGCCCAGACUCCUACGGGAGGCAGCAGUGGGGAAUAUUGCACAAUGGGCGGAAGCCUGAUGCAGCGACGCCGCGUGAGGGAUGACGGCCUUCGGGUUGUAAACCUCUUUCAGCACGGAAGAAGCGAAAGUGACGGUACGUGCAGAAGAAGCGCCGGCUAACUACGUG
rnacentral:rRNA from 1 species